AAAUCCGUCGAAUCUUGAAAUCGUGAGGGUUCAAGUCCCUCUAUCCCCA
rnacentral:tRNA from 1 species